GAUGAACGCUGGCGGCGUGCCUAAUACAUGCAAGUCGAGCGAACGGACGAGAAGCUUGCUUCUCUGAUGUUAGCGGCGGACGGGUGAGUAACACGUGGAUAACCUACCUAUAAGACUGGGAUAACUUCGGGAAACCGUAGCUAAUACCGGAUAAUAUUUUGAACCGCAUGGUUCAAAAGUGAAAGACGGUCUUGCUGUCACUUAUAGAUGGAUCCGCGCUGCAUUAGCUAGUUGGUAAGGUAACGGCUUACCAAGGCAACGAUGCAUAGCCGACCUGAGAGGGGGCUGGGCCACACGGGAACUGAGACACGGCCCUGACUCCUAGGGGAGGCAGCAGUGGGGAAUCUUCCGAAAUGGGCGAAGGCCGGACGGAGCAACGCCGCGUGAGUGAUGAAGGUCUUCGGAUCGAAAAACUCUUUUAUUGGGAAAAAACAUAUGUGUAAUUAACUGUGCACAUCUUGACGGUCCCUAAUAAGAAAGCCACGGCUAACUACGUG
rnacentral:rRNA from 1 species